rnacentral:sRNA from 1 species
GUGUUUUUCAUAGUAUUAGAUAUAAGAUUAAUUAGAAGGAUUGUACUCAACUUGUGAAAGCUUAAGUGCAUCAACAGCGGAAGCGUCUGCUUUUUUGAUAAAUGUAUGAAGGCAUCGGUUUCUACACAACCGAUGCUUUUUUUAU